UUUUGAAUGACUCUCCGUACAG
rnacentral:miRNA from 1 species